rnacentral:tRNA from 1 species
AGCCCGGUAGAGUGGAUUUUAUUAUCGCCGAAUGUAGUGGCCAAGCAUAGAGGCCUUUGGAGCCUUUGACCCCAGUUCGAAUCUGGGCCGGGCUA